UAUUAAUAAAAUAUAUUAAAGUGAAUUAAAUUUAUUCUGAAUUAUUUUAACGAAAUUGAAAUCAAAUAAUUGCUAGGAAUACAUUAAAUUAUAGAUUAACUUGAAACUAAUAUUUUAUUUGUUCAUUAUGUAACAAGGUAUUAAUAUAUUGUUUAGUAUAAUGUUACUUGAUCGAGUUAUGAAAGGCUCUAUAUAUUUCGCAGAACAAGAAUUUAUGAUUCAAUAUGAAUCGAGAUGAAUUCAGUUAAACGAACAAUGAAAAGGAGACAUGGAAAAAUCAACCGAUCGAAUGAAGCAUCUAUCUAUUUCAGAAAAAUUUGAUCGAUAAAGAAAUUGAUUUUUCCUUUUUUUGUUUUAUGAUCGAUAAGUUUUAAUCAAUGGAUUUUAUAUUCUUGUAAAUUUUAGAAUAUAUUAUAAAAUUGAUCGAAGAAUUAUAAUAAAAUGUAGGAUUUUUAUUAGCAACGAUUAUCUCAUGUUUAUUUUUUUUUACUGCUAUUCUAUUUAUAUUAUAUAUUUAAACGCUAUGCUCAUUACGGAUUGUCAAUAUAAAAUUUUAAUAAAUUUGUAUUUCUUAAAAAAUAAAAAGUUAAUUAUUAGAAAUUAAUAAAUUGAUAAUUAUAAAAACUAUAAACAUUUAAUAUUUUGAUGUCAUUCAAAAAAAUCGAUAUCUCGUUUUUUUUCGAUUCAGAUAAGAAUCGAUUAGAAUCGAUUUUCAGAAAGUUAUUACAGAUGGCGUUACGAUUUAUCAUAAUGUGCGAGAGCGUUCGAGAUGGAAUGAAGCGAUCGAGAUAUGAUAUCUAAGGAUCUGUUGUUAGUGGUAAAUGUGAAGGAAUCGCAUUCCCUUGUGGUUAGGUAGUUUAAUUGGAAUUGAUGUUGCAAGCCCAGUGUUACAAUCGACGCAGUACUAACCCGCGUAACUAAUUAACACGCCCAAGAUAAUCCAAGUGAAUCGCAUCUAAGCAAUAGUUCCCUCGUGAGGGAAAUGAUCGAGCGACUAUAGAGGUUAUGGGAGCGUCAGAGAUCGAAUGUUCAAUAAGAAGAUUUAUGUUGGAUUAAAUAUAAUUCUCUGCAUAUAGUAGUAGAGGUAAUCGUUAAUAAUAUAUCUAAUAAUAACUAUGAAUAUGAAAAAUAGGAAUUUUAUUUAUUCUUAUUGAUAUUGAAUGGAAAAUUUAUGGAAAUCAAAAAAAUAUCUAGAGAGAAAAUAUCAUGAAACUAUCCUCAUAAAAGAUAUUAAGGAACCAAAAAAUAAACAAUUGAAGUACAAUAUUGAUAUAUAUACUUCGCAUAUAUGUAUAUGGCAUUGCACGAUACUGUGGACACACCGUCUGUUCCGGUUCUGGCAGAGUAUAAUCGGGACACGCGGUAACACCGCGUAACGAGUUAGCACAACGAAGCCAAGCCAGGGGUCUUGGUGGCCCUGGCAGCUAGCAAUCGAUAGCCCGAGCAGCUAGAGGCGUGGGAGUCUGCAGCCUCUGAGGCAGAGAGAGGGACACAAAGAGAUGUUGGACGAAUUUCCGUUGAGGGAGGGCGAAUUCUUUCUAAGAAGAAGGAUAUAGAAAGGGAAAGAAAAGAGAUGUGUCGCGUUAACCAAAAGAUUGAAGAAAAUAGUGUGAUCCUUGAAAGAAGGUUGACAAUUUUUCGUCUAUUCUUAUUGAACCGGAUUGUCAAUUAGAGGGAUGUCCAGAUUCGAUAUGUCUAUGGUCUGUGAAAGAGUGAGAGGAAGAUUUUCGAACGUAUAAUAGAAGAAAGGGAAUCGACUGGACGAGAUGGAAAAUCGUGGAAACCUUUAAGGAAAUAGGUCGAGCUCCAAUAAGCCGUUUAAAGGACUCUUUACGGUUCCGGUUGCUGGUCAGGAGAUUUAUGGAGACCCUUUUAAUCAAGUCUGAUUCGAAAACGUCUCCGACUCUGUUUUCUUCAGGUUGACGACUUACGUGAAUCGUACUUCUGGAAUUUGGAUAAAUUGCUCGGAAUGUAUGUAAAUUAUGAUUAAUGAAGUAUAAACUAGAAAUAGUGGUAUUAGAUCAUGGAUUUAGUUUGAUAUAUAUUAUAAUUGUAAAAAGAAAUAUGACAGUUUUUAAAAUAUAUAAGAUUUUUCUUUUAGAAUUUUUAGAGAAAAUGAUUUUUAUGGAUUUUGAAUUUUUAAAAUAAAAUUAGAUUUUUGAUGUAGGAUUUGUGUAUAUAGAAUUUUUAUAAUAUUAAGUUUUAUAAGAUAAAUUUUUAUAAGAUCUAUAAUUCUCAAAAUUUAUUCA